rnacentral:rRNA from 1 species
CUACGGGUCGCAGCAGUGAGGAAUUUUGCGCAAUGGGGGAAACCCUGACGCAGCAACGCCGCGUGAGCGAAGAAGGCCUUCGGGUCGUAAAGCUCUGUCAAGUGGGAAAAAAAUCUUUUGAUCAAUAGUCAAAAGACUUGAUGGUACCACUGGAGGAAGCACCGGCUAACUCCGUGCCAGCAGCCGCGGUAAUACGGAGUGUGCAAGCGUUGUUCGGAUUUACUGGGCGUAAAGAGCGUGUAGGCGGUUUAGCGAGUCAGAUGUGAAAGCCCUGGGCUCAACCCGGGAAGUGCAUUUGAAACUGCUUCACUAGAGUAUGGGAGAGGAGAGUGGAAUUCCUGGUGUAGAGGUGAAAUUCGUAGAUAUCAGGAGGAACACCCGUGGCGAAGGCGAUUCUCUGGACCAAUACUGACGCUGAGACGCGAAAGCGUGGGGAGCAAACAGGAUUAGAUACCCGUGUAGUC